rnacentral:misc_RNA from 1 species
GAUGAAGAACGUAGCGAAAUGCGAUACGUAAUGUGAAUUGCAGAAUUCAGUGAAUCAUCGAAUCUUUGAACGCACAUUGCGCCUGCCAGGACUCUGGCAGGCAUGCCUGUUCGAGCGUCAUUUCAACCAUCAAGCCCUAGGCUUGCGUUGGAGCCCUGCGGCUGCCGCAGGCCCCUAAAAGCAGUGGCGGGCUCGCUAUCACACCGAGUGCAGUAGAUUACUCUUCGCUCAGGGCGUGUGGCGGGUUCCAGCCGUGAAACCCCCUACUUCUCAAGGUUGACCUCGGAUCAGGUAGGAAUACCCGCUGAACUUAAGCAUAUCAAUAAGCGGAGGA